UAGCUAAGAGAGGUCGAAAGACGUCCAAGAUUGUUGCGCCAAAAUAUCAGCCGAUCGCAAACUUUUUCGAAUCAAGAAAGCAGGAGCCAAUAAGUGCCGAAUCAUUCGUGUUAACGAUUUUGUUAGAAACUGUGUAUACAGCAGUUGAGUUGACAUCCAAAAAACAUGAUGGAAAGUCUGUGACUUAACAAACCUGUCAAAAGUAUAAAAAGGCAUGUCAUUAGUUAGAAAUUGUCGACAUUUUUUAAAGUUUAUAUCAUGGGCAGUUUCAAGGAUUAAAGAUAUUACCAAACAUCAGUUUAUUAAAAUUUAUUAUGAUAGUUUACAGUUCUAUUGAAGCAAUACAAGUGUGCAGCGUCAACGGAAGUAAAUCAGCAAUUAUUUUAAGGUGGACUUCAAUAUGUAUGAUCUACUUAUGCUGCCACAAUGUAAAGGCAACAAUCACUGGGUUUUGCUGGUUGCAAGUGUUAUGUCCAGGACUGUAACCAUUUACGACUGGUUGGGUGGUAACAACAAGGCAUUGUUCGAUUUGUUCUGCCAGGUCAUGUGUCAACGAGCGCAAAUUGUGAAAGAUGGCUUGGAAAAAAUUCAGUUCAGAGUUCAAAGCCCCACCUUGCAACAAACAGCGCCAUGGAAACAGCUGUGGAGUGUUUGCAUUGAUGACUGCCAAAUGUUUGGUCAUGAAAAAGCAUCCCACAAUGUUGCGACAGGCCCAUGAUUCAGUUUAUCGAGACUAGUCGUGAGACGCAGACUUCUGAUUCAUGGAGUGCGGCAAACAUAUCUGUGCGACUCGAUCACUCCACUGUAAAGACCCGCACGGCAUUAAAAUGGAUAUUAUCAA